rnacentral:rRNA from 1 species
GGUUGAUCCUGCCAGUAGUCAUAUGCUCAUUUCGAAGAUUAAGCCAUGCAUGUCUAGGUAUAAGUUUUUAUACAACGAAACUGCGAAUAGCUCAUUAAAACAACUAUAGUCUUUGUGGACAUAAUUGCUACACGGAUACCUGUGGUAAUUCUGGAGCUAAUACGUGAAUAAUGUCCAAUCGGAUGUCACUUAUUAGAUAAGAACCAACCUAUGCUUGCAUAGUAUUUUGGUGAUCCAUAAUAAGCUCGUGAAUCGCAUGGCGUCUGCCGGCGAUAAUCCACCUGAGUUUUUG